AUGCUCCGGGAGAAUGACUGCGUGAGCCAAGGUCGAGUCGGCCGUAGGCCCACGACAGACGCCACCCGACUGUCUUCCAAGCACCCCCGGGAGUGUAACGGAGACCUAACAGCGGCCUCCCGCCGCUCCGGGAGCCCUACUCGCCAGCAACCCCACGACUCUAACCCGUCGCUAAGGUGGGCACGCCCCGCGACGUCACUUCCGCCCACAGGUGAACCGCCGGAAACAGCGCGACCGGCGUUACCGCCGGGCUUCGUCAGGGAGGCCAGAGGCUGGGGUUGCGGGGCUGCGAUCCCCGAAGGUGCCCCAGCCGGACCAGACACCCUCACCCCCAGUCAGCCGGGCUGUCUAACACUCACCCUGGGCAGCGUGGUUGCCCCACGCGUAAACCAAGUCGCAACGGUCCUGCCGCCAGCCUCCCAGGGAUGAGACGUGUUCGGCGUGACGCUCGCGCCCACCGGAAGAUCCGCCCCAGCCGCGGGGCGAGACCCAGUGCGCACGCGCUGGGCUGCCAACUGGGUUAGGAGCGCCGGCGCGAACGUGUGGUUGCUGGGAAGCCCAAUCUUCUGCCUCCCGGCUGCCUGGGCAUGUCUGGAAACCGGCGUUUUACUCUAGUGAAAAGCACAUCCUCAGUAAGGCGGUUGUAAGCACUGAGAUGUUUCCAAAGAAAGAGGCGGGGGGCGGGGGGUAAGGGGUAAGGCAGCGGGCCCUAUCGAUGGAAAUGCUUACAAUUAACCUCUGAGCCUAUCAAGUGGCUGGGGGAUGCCGAGGAUCAAACCCACAGUCUCCCACUUGUUAGGCAUGUGCUCCAUUAUUGAACUACAUCCCCAGCCCCCUUCCACGAACCUGAAAGAAUGGAGGUGUAGGGAGCCACACUAUCUCCCAGAGAAUCUCACUUUGCAGUUCCCGCCGCAGUGGGCGUCUCCCUCCCUAGCCAUCUUGAGUUCUCUGAAAAGGUGAGCAGUAGGAAAGGGUCUUACCCACCCCACACUCUCACACCUGAGCCAAGAGUUUAGGGCGUUGCAAACUGGCUGGGGAAGUAGACCUGAUCUAACUACAAAGUUCCCGACACAUGCACAAAACAGUUCCCAAAGCCCUGUAGUGGAGCCAACCAGAGAGCGCUAUCUUUAGGAUGGCCUAGACCAGGCAUCAGCCUGAGGAGUGGGGGAUACACAAGGACAGCCACCACUGAGCUGGGUGCUACUGCAUUUUUUUUUCCUGGUGCUCUGCUCUCAUGCUGUAGAGUAUUCUUUUUCCUACUUGGCCCAAACUCACUCUCCAGAACGUUUCUUUUCCUACCUUUAAUAAAUACAAAACCUCUACCUUAUGCACUUGUUUUGUCCAUUUCU
rnacentral:lncRNA from 1 species